UCCUACGGGAGGCAGCAGUGGGGAAUUUUGGACAAUGGGCGCAAGCCUGAUCCAGCAAUGCCGCGUGCAGGAAGAAGGCCUUCGGGUUGUAAACUGCUUUUGUACGGAACGAAACGGUCUGGGUUAAUACCUCGGGCUAAUGACGGUACCGUAAGAAUAAGCACCGGCUAACUACGUGCCAGCAGCCGCGGUAAUA
rnacentral:rRNA from 1 species